rnacentral:tRNA from 1 species
GGUUUUGUAUUCAAUAUAAUGAUUUUAAAUUGCAAAUUUAAAGGUGGGUGUAGUAUAAUAGCCCCGAAACUU